GUCCCUAUAGCGCAUUGGUAGCGCGUUGGACUUCUAAUCCAAAGUUAAAAUCCUACUUAGGAUG